rnacentral:rRNA from 1 species
UACGUAGGGCGCAAGCGUUGUCCGGAAUUAUUGGGCGUAAAGAGCUCGUAGGUGGUUCGGUAAGUCGGAUGUGAAAUCUCCAGGCUCAACCUGGAGGGGUCAUUCGAUACUGCCGUGACUAGAGGUCGGUAGGGGAGUGUGGAAUUCCUGGUGGAGCGGUGAAAUGCGCAGAUAUCAGGAGGAACACCGAUGGCGAAGGCAGGUCUCUGGGCUGACACUGACGCUCAUGCACGAAAGCGUGGGGAGCAAACAGG